rnacentral:rRNA from 1 species
AGUGAACGCUGGCGGUAGGCCUAACACAUGCAAGUCGAACGGCAGCACAGUAAGAGCUUGCUCUUACGGGUGGCGAGUGGCGGACGGGUGAGGAAUACAUCGGAAUCUACUUUUUCGUGGGGGAUAACGUAGGGAAACUUACGCUAAUACCGCAUACGACCUACGGGUGAAAGCAGGGGAUCUUCGGACCUUGCGCGAUUGAAUGAGCCGAUGUCGGAUUAGCUAGUUGGCGGGGUAAAGGCCCACCAAGGCGACGAUCCGUAGCUGGUCUGAGAGGAUGAUCAGCUACACUGGAACUGAGACACGGUCCAGACUACUACGGGAGGCAGCAGUGGGGAAUAUUGGACAAUGGGCGCAAGCCUGAUCCAGCCAUACCGCGUGGGUGAAGAAGGCCUUCGGGUUGUAAAGCCCUUUUGUUGGGAAAGAAAAGCAGCAGGUUAAUACCCCGCUGUUCUGACGGUACCCAAAGAAUAAGCACCGGCUAACUUCGU